GUCCCCCUACGGGGCGCAGCAGUGGGGAAUAUUGCACAAUGGGCGCAAGCCUGAUGCAGCGACGCCGCGUGCGGGAUGGAGGCCUUCGGGUUGUAAACCGCUUUCAGCAGGGACGAAUUCAGACGGUACCUGCAGAAGAAGCCCCGGCUAACUACGUGCCAGCAGCCGCGGUAAUACGUAGGGGGCGAGCGUUAUCCGGAUUCAUUGGGCGUAAAGCGCGCGUAGGCGGCGCGUCAAGCGGGACCUCUAACCCCGGGGCUCAACCCCGGGCCGGGUCCCGGACUGGCGCGCUCGAGUGCGGUAGG
rnacentral:rRNA from 1 species